rnacentral:rRNA from 1 species
GAUGAACGCUGGCGGCGUGCCUAAUACAUGCAAGUCGAGCGAACAGACGAGGAGCUUGCUCCUCUGACGUUAGCGGCGGACGGGUGAGUAACACGUGGAUAACCUACCUAUAAGACUGGGAUAACUUCGGGAAACCGGAGCUAAUACCGGAUAAUAUAUUGAACCGCAUGGUUCAAUAGUGAAAGACGGUUUUGCUGUCACUUAUAGAUGGAUCCGCGCCGCAUUAGCUAGUUGGUAAGGUAACGGCUUACCAAGGCGACGAUGCGUAGCCGACCUGAGAGGGUGAUCGGCCACACUGGAACUGAGACACGGUCCAGACUCCUACGGGAGGCAGCAGUAGGGAAUCUUCCGCAAUGGGCGAAAGCCUGACGGAGCAACGCCGCGUGAGUGAUGUAGGUCUUCGGAUCGUAAAACUCUGUUAUUAGGGAAGAACAAAUGUGUAAGUAACUAUGCACGUCUUGACGGUACCCAAUCAGAAAGCCACGGCUAACUACGUG